rnacentral:tRNA from 1 species
GGAAGCGAUCGCCUGGCUGGUGCCGGCCCCGGACUUCAAAUCCGGUGGAGGGCGUGGCGACACGGCCUCGGCGGGUUCGAUUCCCGUGCGCUUCCGCCA